GGGGGCGUACUGGUUUCGACGGGGACGCAGAGGCGGGAAUAGCGGGCGGAUGCGCCUAACAUCCUAAAAAUGGGCACUUAUAAAUUAAAGAACGACGAUAAUAACGUAGUUCUCGCCGCGGCUUAAUGCGGCCGUCCUGCCCGGAAGGACCACGGUCUGGGACAGGGCGUCGAUGAGUGGUGCACGUGUGUGCGCAAAGCUUUGAGCGCACCAUGAACAAUGAAGCUACCAAUCCCCGGAGUAUGGCGGUUUACGCCGGGGUAAGGGAAUGUAAAUAACCGCCUGCGCCCGGAGAGGUUCCCGAGGAAACGUUUUCGGACGGGGGUUCGACUCCCCCCGCCUCCACCA
rnacentral:tmRNA from 1 species